GAAGGCACUGCAUUUGCUGAAUGAAUCUAGGGCCUUCCCAACAGCAUAGUGUAUGCUGGUUCAAUAUCCAUUACCUGGAAUGUUACAUUGAAAGUACAUACCCCAAUUUGGAGAGAUGGGUCUACUGGGAGCCUUGCCAGGGUUGCAUUGGGGCAAGACAUUGAGUGCUGAGCCAUUGUCAAUUAGAACUUUAGCAACCAAACAUCCUUUACACUUAACUGUCAGCCUCUACACUUAACUGUCACAAGCAGAGACUUGAUGUGCUUCAAGCUAGCCG
rnacentral:misc_RNA from 1 species